CCUACGGGUGGCAGCAGUAGGGAAUAUUGCUCAAUGGGGGAAACCCUGAAGCAGCAACGCCGCGUGGAGGAUGAAGGUUUUCGGAUUGUAAACUCCUUUUGUUAGAGAAGAUAAUGACGGUAUCUAACGAAUAAGCACCGGCUAACUACGUGCCAGCAGCCGCGGUAAUAAGGAGGGUGCAAGCGUUACUCGGAAUCACUGGGCGUAAAGAGCGCGUAGGCGGGAUAGCAAGUCAGAUGUGAAAUCCUAUGGCUUAACCAUAGAACUGCAUUUGAAACUGUUAUUCUAGAGUAUGGGAGAGGUAGGUGGAAUUCUUGGUGUAGGGGUAAAAUGCGUAGAGAUCAAGAGGAAUACUCAUUGCGAAGGCGACCUGCUAGAACAUAACUGACGCUGAUGUGCGAAAGCGUGGGGAGCAAACAGGAUUAGAUACCCUGGUAGUC
rnacentral:rRNA from 1 species